rnacentral:rRNA from 1 species
AUUGAACGCUGGCGGCAUGCUUUACACAUGCAAGUCGAACGGUAACAGGGAGCUUGCUCCGCUGACGAGUGGCGAACGGGUGAGUAAUGCAUCGGAACGUACCCAGUCGUGGGGGAUAACGUAGCGAAAGUUACGCUAAUACCGCAUACGUCCUGAGGGAGAAAGCGGGGGACCGAAAGGCCUCGCGCGAUUGGAGCGGCCGAUGUCGGAUUAGCUAGUUGGUGGGGUAAAGGCCUACCAAGGCGACGAUCCGUAGCGGGUCUGAGAGGAUGAUCCGCCACACUGGGACUGAGACACGGCCCAGACUCCUACGGGAGGCAGCAGUGGGGAAUUUUGGACAAUGGGGGCAACCCUGAUCCAGCCAUGCCGCGUGAGUGAAGAAGGCCUUCGGGUUGUAAGACUCUUUCUAGACGGAAAGAAAACGACAUCGGUGAAUACCCGACUGUGGAUGACGGUACCGUAACGAAGAAGACACCGGCUAACUACGUAGCCAGCAGCCGCGGUAAAAUAGCGUACUC